GCGGAUGUGGCGGAAUGGCAGACGCGCAGGUUUCAGGUACCUGUGGUGGCAACACUGUGAGAGUUCGACCCUCUCCAUCCGCACCA
rnacentral:tRNA from 1 species